GACGAACGCUGGCGGCGUGCUUAACACAUGCAAGUCGAACGGAAAGGCCCUGCUUUUGUUGGGUGCUCGAGUGGCGAACGGGUGAGUAACACGUGAGUAACCUGCCCUUGACUUUGGGAUAACUUCAGUAAACUGGGGCUAAUACCGGAUAGGAGCUCCUGCUGCAUGGUGGGGGUUGGAAAGUUUCGGCGGUUGGGGAUGGACUCGCGGCUUAUCAGCUUGUUGGUGGGGUAGUGGCUUACCAAGGCUUUGACGGGUAGCCGGCCUGAGAGGGUGACCGGCCACAUUGGGACUGAGAUACGGCCCAGACUCCUACGGGAGGCAGCAGUGGGGAAUAUUGCAAAAUGGGCGGAAGCCUGAUGCAGCAACGCCGCGUGAGGGAUGACGGCCUUCGGGUUGUAAACCGCUUUCGCCAGGGAAGAAGCGAGAGUGACGGUAAUGGGUAAAAAAGCACCGGCUAACUACGUG
rnacentral:rRNA from 1 species